AUGGGAUUCCCACUCAGCAAUUUCAUCCUCUCUUCAUGUGCUUACUUUGCAGAGAUGGGGCUGCUCGCACCAUUGAAGUGGGAGAGGAAGUGGACAUUUAGCCCAGUUCUUUUGGCAUCAAGUGGACAUGUUUAUUACGGCUGGCAGAGCGUACCUGUGUGCAACAUGGCAAUCCUGCCUGUCACCACACCAACCCUACAGCUGAUGGAAAUCUGGCCUCGUCAAAACCAUGAAGUAGCAGGAAUCUCCUCGGAGAGCAAUGUAUCACAACAUUUUUCAAGAUGAUUUCCAAAUCGAAGAUGACUUCCAAGGAACAGCGAGGAUGUAAUCUUGGAGCCAAUCAAACCAAUGGCAGAAAUCCCACUUUCUGCAUGAUCUUCUUAAUGGAGCCUCUGAAAUUUUGAAGCUUCAUAUAUUAUGGUUAAAAGGUACUGUCCAAAUUCAGCAUCUGUGAGCCUUACAGAGGCACGACCCUAAAAAGAAGUGAUGAAAAAUGUCUAUUUUAAAAACAAAUAUCCCUAUUUAUAAUGACACCAAAGGGAAAAAGGAGAAUUCAGUACUUAAUACUGACACUUGCAACUUGCAAAAUCUCUCCACUGCUUGAAACAAGCAUUUGUGAGAGUUUGGAAAAUUUUGAUCACUCAUUUUUUCCUCUUUUGCUUCCAUUUUGCUCACUGGUGGGGCUGUCCAAUAACAGCGUUGAUGCUGCUGAAAUGUCACAAUGAACUUUGCUCAUGUACUAGUUCCAGGUGAGAUGGGAGUAGUUAGUUGUAAUAUUUAACAAAACAAAAGAAGUAUUUGCCAAUGUUUUUGGAUAUAGUUGUUAUGUCCCAGGCGCAGAGAUUAGUCAGAGCAUCCAUAAAUAUCACUGUCGUUGAAAUCUGAUAUCCAAACCCUUCACUCCAAAUGCCCACCGGCUGUGAAAACCCUGCUGAGCUUUGGCCACUGGGCUGUAAACUCCUUUUGGGUUUUGCUCCAUGCCUGGCACAACGGCUGGGGGUCCCUGCCAGUGCAAUAGGGAGUGCAUUUCAGGAGGGGAAGCAAGAGGCACAUCCUACACAGUGGAUCACCUGGUGGGGAAAAAGCUCCCAUUGUGUAUUAUUAUUCAUUUCUGUUGUCAGCCUCUGGUCACUGCAGUAGAGGAGGGUCCAUGUUAAAGGUUACAGAGCAGCUGUGGAGGCUGGUGUGGCAGCCAGUACAGGUAUCAUAAAGGGUCAGGUUAAACUGUACUCUUUCUUGAGUACCUCUGUUAGAAACUGAGCUAAACAGUGUCUUGGUCCCAACA
rnacentral:lncRNA from 1 species